AUACGGAGGGUGCGAGCGUUGAUCGGAAUUACUGGGCGUAAAGCGUACGUAGGCGGUUGGUUAAGUUAGAUGUGAAAGCCCCGGGCUUAACCUGGGAACUGCAUUUAAAACUGGCGAACUAGAGUUGAGUAGAGGGGAGUGGAAUUUCAGGUGUAGAGGUGAAAUGCGUAGAGAUCUGAAGGAACACCAGUGGCGAAGGCGACUCCCUGGACUCGAACUGACGCUGAGGUACGAAAGCGUGGGUAGCAAACGGGAUUAGAAACCCUAGUAGUCC
rnacentral:rRNA from 1 species